rnacentral:rRNA from 1 species
UACAGAGGUCCCAAGCGUUUGUUCGGAUUUACUGGGCGUAAAGGGUGCGUAGGCGGUCGGGUAAGUCUGAUGUGAAAUCUCCGAGCUUAACUCGGAAAUGGCAUUGGAUACUAUUCGGCUUGAGGUCUGGAGGGGGGACUGGAAUUCUCGGUGUAGCAGUGAAAUGCGUAGAUAUCGAGAGGAACACCAGUGGCGAAGGCGAGAUCCCUGGACAGGUCCUGACGCUGAGGCACGAAAGCUAGGGGAGCAAACAGG